CUCAGAUCCUCGCCGCCACCCACCUCCACCGCCGCCCUCACUCUCCCCUCACCCCCUCGUCCUCGACCAACAUCGCCGCCUGCCCUUCCUACACCCCGGAGGCGGCCUACACCCUUGACCACGAGACGAGCGAUGUCCUCAUCCUUCUCGGCCGGUGGCGAGGAGAGACGGCCAAGGAGCUCGGCGACCUCGCGCUCUUCCUCGCCCUGCUCUACCGUCCGGCCUCCGGCUGCUCGUGGUCGACCUGCACAGCCUCCUCUCUCUCCAGUCCGUCGUCUGUUGCUCCCACACCAUGGAGCUCACCACCACCGGUGGUGAUCUGCUUCUUCCUGACCAUGGAGGUGUGCAUCUUCCAUUCAAGCUGCAGCUCACCGACGAAGGAGUCUUCCUCCUGAGCGCCCACACGGAGGAGUUGCAACAACCCUGGAUCUGUCCGUUGGCCCUGUUGAUUUUUGUUGAAGGUCGUCGGGCUUUUCAGUGAGGCGCUGGAAGAGCACUCCCCAUGCUUGUCUUGAGGAGAACACCACCUAGGACUUGGUGGCUGACAUUUGAGAAGGCAACAUGGUGACUCUAGUGCGGACAAGAUGCUCACUGAGGUGCCCAAGUACAAGCAGACCACGCCCUAGGCGAUCUGUUCUUCUUUCUUGCUUUUUACCCAUGAGAAUUAAUAUCUCGAGAUGGUGGGUUAAGUGUAUGGAUGGCCCCUGGUGAAGUUUUUUGCUGUGAUGCUCUGUUUUGGGGUUAGUCAGUAGUACUCUGUGAUGUUCCGGUUCUCCUAGCAUGGGGCAUAUAUUAUUGUGCUAUGAAUUGUUUGCAUGCCCUUUUGGAUGCCGGUUUCGGCUGCUGCAUCUGUGCUGAUAGUUUUUGUGCAGUGGGAUGUUCAGUUUGGUGCAUAAGCCUGGCAUCCUCAAAUUUUCAUUGGUGUUCUCUCGUGUUCUGUUUUAGUUUGUUGAAUGUAAUUUAACAUUAUAAAUUGUUGAAAGCUUUGUUCAAAUUUGACACUCCUUGAUAUCUCUAGCUUGAGAUAUCAUUGAAAAGCUUCCUUUUGCUUGAUAUAACCAUUGGUGUAUGUUCUUCUAAUACUCCAAUUGUUGAUCAAUAUCUUACUCCUGUAGUUGUCCUACCGUAGUACUCCUAUAGGAGUAGAUGUGUACUCCUGUUGUUUGUCCUACCUGUAGUGCAGAGAUGGAGUAGUUUGUCCUGUGUGUGUACUCCUGUAGUUUUUUGCAAUUAAAUUUUCACAAAUGGCCAAAGCUUUCCACUAUUCAUAUUUCCUAAAAAAGAAACAUAAGCUCUUGAAUUACUCAUAUUGUUCCAAUGUUCAUAUUUCAGUAAACCAUAUUAUUCCACUGUUUGUAUCAUGGAUCACACAUACUCCUAUUCAUGCUUUUUGAAAAUUGUUUUGAGUACCAUGGAGUACUAUCUGAUCAUGAGCUAACUUUUCAUGUCAACCAUUUUUUCACUGCAGCAAGUAUACUGAAACUAAAAUUGAGCUGAAAGUUUAAGUACCUCCAAAAUUGAGCUGCUGCUGGAAUCACCAAAUUAUGCAUGCAACCAUUUGUUCACUUCGGCUAGUGUACUGCUGCCGUUUUUGCUUUCAAGUACUGCUACUACUGUUAUUGCUUUCAGUACUAUUGCUGCUGUUGCUUCUCAGUAUGGCUACUGCUAUUGCUUCUCAAUAAUGCUGCUGCUGUUGCUUCUCACUACUGCGGAUGUUUCCCUGCUGUUGUUCAAAUCAAAAUUGUUGUUGUUGUUGCUUCUUAGUACUGCUGUUCUUUUCCUAUUGUUGUUCUAGUCAAAACUGCUGCUGCUUCCCUCCUGCUAUUUCAAAUUGCUUCUACUGUUGUUUAAGUCAAAACUUAGAGCCCCUGUAGCUUUGCUCAACCCCUAAAUUGUUGUUGUUAUUUUAAAUUGCUCAAUUAUUUGAAUUGCCACUGCUACUAUCUCAUUUUAACUAGCUGGAGGACAAAAAGCAUUGUACUAGCUAAAUUUGUGUCAUCAUUCUAAUCUAAAUAACUGUCAUUUUUUGAAUGGUCUCUUCUUGGUUUAUUGGUUCCAGUUUUUCUAAUUCUUCUCUGCUGAUUUUUUAACGCUAAUUCUUCUCUAUUGAUACAUGUAACAGGGCGACCGUGGAAGGCAUAUCACCAUUCUGUUAGCCCAGUCCUAACAGGAGCAGGUGCCUAGUUUACGAUCGCUAUCGAAAGAGCUCCAUGUUGAAGAAACAUAGCUCGCAAACGUAUCUUGUUAUUACACAUGUGGAGCUUGUAACCGUGAUUGCCAUCCUUUUAGAGCUUGUAGCUAGUUAUUACACUUGUAGAGAUUCUGGUAGAGCUUGUAUAUGUUGGAGCUUAAUUACGUGUAGAGCUUGUAGAUCUUGUAAAGUAUUGCAUAUGUUAUUUGUACAACAGGAGCUCUGUACUGAAUCUGGAGUAUUACGUGUGUUUUUUGUUUGUGCCAAUUUAAAUACUGGUUAUUUAUUUACUGUUAAA
rnacentral:rRNA from 1 species